GCCCAUGAGCAGAAUUCCCUUUUGCAAAAGCUUUAUAAUAAAGCUCUUAUAUAUUGUUCACGUGUCUCCAGUUUUUAUUAAAAUUUUUUCUU